UGAUGAUGUGGUGUGUGUCGGUGUCCUAGCAACCCGCAGCGAUAGUUCACCUGAAACUUCUUCGUGGAAGGAGCUCCCUCUGCUCUUAACAUGAGCCAAACACACUCCAGUUGUAACUUUAACUGUUGUUUCAAACAAAAAAGUACAGCCAGCCAUGUUUAGCUGGAAUUAAUUACAUUGGAAUUUUUAAUUAGCGUCAUAUUUGCCGGCGGAAACACACCUCACAGACGGUUUGGCUUGAGCAAAGAUGAUUGAGAAGCUGUGUUUGACCUGUGAUAGACUCCUGUCACACCGCCAGCUCGCAUGCUGUCACUCAUAUUGUGGCCUACCAUUGCAUGGAAAGGACAUACUGAUUUACAGUAACGUGGACACCGAGCUAAAGCCCCUGCAGCUAACUGGCCAUCAUGGUGAGAUCAGUGCCAUGACUUUUGGGAAAGGAAGCAGACCUGUUGUCCUCUGCUCCGCCUCUGCUGAUUAUAUCAUCGUCUGGGAUCUUGAGCUGUGCCAGAGGAGAACACAGGAGGGUAAAGUCGCAGCUGGAAGAGUUAUCGGAACUUUACUUGGUGAAAUCGUCCACCUGUCCUUCUGUUUCUCUGAUGAACGAGUGGCUGCAUGCUCAGGAGCAACUUUAUAUGUUCUUAGCUCAAAGAGACACGAAGUGAUCUCUACCCUGACCAGCCAUCGCGGCCCUUUAACAUCAGCAGAGUUCUGUCCCUGGAAUAAAGACAUUAUUGUCACCGCAUCAGAGGACCGCACUUUUAAGGUGUGGGAUUUAAAAACUGAAGCUAUUUGCUACCAGUCUUUUGUGCUUUCAGCCUCUCCACUUCUCAGUGUGUUCUUCUUGGAGGAGAAUAGGCACCUUAUCACAGGCUCGACUGAUGGACAGGUGUGGUGCUUUUCUCUUGCUGAGGACCAUAGAUGUCACCUAGUGACCAAAAUGGACCUUCAGAAGAUGGAAAAAAGGCAUCAGAUGCACCAGGGCACUGGUGAUGAUAGGGUCCCAGAACAAUCAGCUGCAGAUAAAGUGGAGACUUCAAAACCUGUCCUCAAAAUGGCUGUGUGUAGCUCAUUCACCAACACCAGCAAUGAGCAUAAGAAGGACAACAGCUGGUUAUGUAUUGGAAGCUCUGAUGGCCUGUAUGUGGUGGAUGUGGCUACCUCAGAACUCCUAACAGUAUUGUAUUUCAGAGAUUACCCCAACCUGAGCAUCACAAUGGCUGGGUCAUGGUCAGUCUCUCCAGGGAGGGAUACUAUGGUGUUUUUAGUCAGCUCUUUGUUUACUCCAUGCGUGGCCCUGUUGGAGUUACAUCUGUGUGACCUAGAAAGGAUCUCAGCUUGUGGUGAAGGCUUUUCAGUGUUCCCAAGUUCUCCUCCACUGCCUGACUCUCCUCUGAAUGCUGAAUUCAAGAAGAAGGAACCCAACCAUCCUAAAAAGAAAGGAGGAAUGAAAGAGCAGCCCCUGGUUUUCCACUCAAAAGUGAAGUCAUCUGGAUAUACCAGUGCCCCAAGAAGAAUUAUGUUUUCACCUAAAACAAAUAUUCAGAAGAAUCCUCCCUCUAAAAAGGCUACCAAAAAUACAGGCUUACUCCUCAGGGAUUAUCCAGCAGACGGUGCACCACCUACUACUCCACACAGUCAGCUGAGCACUGGCAACAAACCAGUCUACUGCCUUCAGUAUUCAGGUGACGGAAAACAAAUCCUGUGUGGUCUUGGCGACAGCUCAGUAUUAUUGUACAGGUCCUCCCUUACUGGCAAUCCAACUGUCUACACAGGGCAUGACAAGCCAGUGAGCAGUGUGAGCUGGAGCCUCAAUAGACAGUGGUGGCUGAGUGCAUCAGAAGACCAGUCACUCCGAAUCUGGACCCAUGGCAGCCCAGAGCCUGCCAUUAUCAUGGGCGACAGCAUAUUCUCCAAACCCAUCAGAAGUGCUCAGUUUUACUACCUUGAUAAAUUUCUGCUUCUGGCAUCUGGACCAUCUCUGUACUUGUACCUGUAUAAUGUGGACACUACACGUGAUGACAUCAAAAGAUAUGAGCAACGGAGUGUCGUCAAACUGGCAAGAUUCUUUACAACAACAUCAGAAACAGACAUCACUGCCAUGUCUGCAAUCAGUGACUUCUUCUCUUACAUUGUUCUGGUGUGUGGCUCAGAUCGCUCCAUUCAAGUAUUUGACAUGAACAAGGGUACAGUUGCUGCAGAGCUGCCUGAUGCCCACAGCAGAGCCAUCCACUGUGUUACACAGAACAAGGGCUCUAUGUUCAGCACACAAGCACCGGAUUCAUACAACCUCUUCCUUACCAGUGCAGUCACAGAUGGUGUGAAGAUUUGGGACCUCCGCACACUUAGGUGCGUACGUCGUUAUGAGAACCAUCUGAAUCGCUGCCAUCCAUGCUCGUCAGCCAUCUCACCAUGUGGCCGGUUCAUUGCCUCAGGCUCUGAAGAUAACUGUGCCUAUGUGUAUGAUAUCCGAAGCAGCAGCUACCUCCACAAACUUCAUAAACACUCAGAUACAGUGCUCAGUGUGACUUUCAACCCGGCCACACCAGAGCUGCUGAGCGGGACCCUGGAUGGGAAGCUGAGACUGUUUCAUUCCAGCAGUGGGGCCCGUCUGUCUCAUGAAACCAGUGCUGCUGUGCAUAGCGUCCCCAACAUGACUGCGUAAUUGCAGCAGGCUGCUGCAAAGACCAUGCAGGUUUCAUUAAAGCAGUUCCAACCCCCUGGCAAGGAUUUUACUGGGGAAGAAGAACAGAGAAGAACUCCAGCUUUGCAGAGACGGCACUGAACAGAGCAGUUACACACUUGAGAAAGAGACAGUGCAGAACUCACUACAUCAAGAUGUUCAUUUUCCAUCGCAGCAUCAAGUAUAGUCUGUGCAUGCCUGCGACAUUGUCUGUAAAGUGUUUGGUCCUUCCCUGUUCUGUGGCCUGAACUCUGA